rnacentral:rRNA from 1 species
GAUGAACGCUGACAGAAUGCUUUACACAUGCAAGUCAACUUGUGGCGGACGCGCGAGUAACGCGUAAAGAACUUGCCUCACAGAUAGGCACAACAUUUGGAAACGAAUGCUAAAACCUGAUCCUGUGGGUGAGCUUUGCGUCCCAUUAGCUAGUUGGGGAGGUAACGGCGCACCAAGGCGAUGAUGGGUAGCCGGCCUGAGCGGGUGAUAGGCCACAAGGGGACUGAGAAACGACCCUUACGCCUCCGGGGCGAAGCAGUGGGGAGUAUAUGAAAAUGGACCAAAGUCUGAUCCAGCAAUUCUGUGUGCACGAUGAAGUUUUCGGAAAGGAAAGUGCUUUGAGUUAGAAAGCGGUACCAGCAGAAGAAGCGACGGCUAAAUACGUGCCAGCAGCCGCGGUAAUUC